ncrna:Schistosoma mansoni type-P1 twister ribozyme
UUAUUAACUCCGCCUGUAGCUCCUCCGGGGGCUACAGCCGAUUCCAAGCCCGGGUAAAGGUGGAGGGUUGG